UACGGAAGGCACAGUGGGGAAUAUUGCACAAUGGGCGAAAGCCUGAUGCAGCUAUGCCGCGUGUAUGAAGAAGGCCUUAGGGUUGUAAAGUACUUUCAUCGGGGAGGAAAAACAAAACUAAUAAUUUUAUUUCUUGACGUUACCCGAAAAAGAAGCACCGGCUAACUCCGUGCCAGCAGCCGCGGUAAUACGGAGGGUGCUAGCGUUAAUCAGAAUUACUGGGCGUAAAGAGCACGUAGGUGGUUUUUUUAAGUCAGAUGUGAAAUCCCUGGGCUUAACCUGGAACUGCAUUUUGAAACUGAAAUACUAGAGUAUCGUAGAGGGAGGUAGAAUUCUAGGUGUAGCGGUGAAAUGCGUAGAUAUCUGGAGGAAUACCUGUGGCGAAAGCGGCCUCCUAAACGAAUACUGACACUGAGGGUGCGAAAGCGUGGGGAGCAAACAGGGAUUAGAUACCCGU
rnacentral:rRNA from 1 species